rnacentral:lncRNA from 1 species
AGGGAGGCCCGGGACGCGGCGGUUUUGUUAUUGGCAGGGAAGAGACCUGGGUUCCCGAUCGAACACAGAGGCCGAGCGCAGCAGUCCCCCACUGGGGUGCUGGGACCGCCCCUCGGGUGGGCGGACGGCUUUAGCUUCCUACCCCGGGUUGUGACCGGGUGGGGUCACAUAAGUUCAGGUCCACGCCCUGCUCGGUGCCGGCGCCAGGAGAGCCAGGAAGACGCGGCCCGGCUUGCGGGGGGUAGAGGGACACACUUGCGCUGCGGGACCAGUCUCCUGAGGCUGCACGGGUCAAUGACAUGAGGAAGACCGAAGGAGGCUGCUGGGUGUGGACACAAAGAGAUGGAGCAGACGCUUAUGGGCUCCUUCAUCCUUCCAGAACAGACUCUCCAAGCAAAGUCUAAACCAGUCACAUUGAAGCUCCUAGGGUUACUUCAUUAAUAAUAUUUCAGGCCGGGCGUGGUGGCUCACGCCUGUAAUCCCAGCACUUUGGGAGCCUGAGGCGGGAGGAUCACAAGAUUAGGAGUUCAAGACCAGCCUGGC